rnacentral:rRNA from 1 species
AAGAUUCAGCCAUGCAAGUCUAAGUAUAAGCAAUUUAUACAGUGAAACUGCGAAUGGCUCAUUAAGUCAGUUAUCGUUUAUUUGAUAGUUCCUUUACUACAUGGUAUAACUGUGGUAAUUCUAGAGCUAAUACGUGCUUAAAAUCUCGACCCUUUGGAAGAGAUGUAUUUAUUAGAUAAAAAUACAAUGUCUUCGGACUCUUUGAUGAUUCAUAAUAACUUUUCGAAUCGCAU